UGAUACUGUGUCUGCUACCGUGA
rnacentral:misc_RNA from 1 species